rfam:Oryza sativa Indica Group scaffold001028 genomic scaffold, whole genome shotgun sequence.
UACAAGUCUAGUUGUGGGUUUUGUAUCUAACGAUUGACCAUCUGUAUUAUUAGAAAAUUUUUAUGAUUAUUAGUAUUUUUAUUGUUAUUCUUUAUGUGUGAUUUAUUUUUUAAAAUUUUUUUUAUAGAUUUUUCAAAUAAGACGAACGAUUAAAUAUUGGAUGUAGAAACUCACCGCUGCACUUAGG